GACGAACGCUGGCGGCGUGCCUAAUACAUGCAAGUCGAGCGGAACUGGGGGAGCUUGCUCCUUCCAGUUUAGCGGCGGACGGGUGAGUGACACGUGGGCAACCUGCCUUGCAGAUCGGGAUAACUCCGGGAAACCGGUGCUAAUACCGAAUAGUUUGGCGCCUCUCCUGAGGCGCUACGGAAAGACGGUUUCGGCUGUCACUGCAGGAUGGGCCCGCGGCGCAUUAGCUAGUUGGUGGGGUAACGGCCCACCAAGGCGACGGUGCGUAGCCGACCGGAGAGGGGGACCGGCCACACUGGGACUGAGACACGGCCCAGACUCCUACGGGAGGCAGCAGUAGGGAAUCUUCCGCAAUGGACGCAAGUCUGACGGAGCAACGCCGCGUGAGUGACGAAGGUUUUCGGAUCGUAAAACUCUGUUGUGAGGGAAGAACACGUACCAACUAACUAUUGGUACCUUGACAGUACCUCGCCAGAAAGCCACGGCUAACUACGUGCCAGCCGCCGCAGUAA
rnacentral:rRNA from 1 species